AUGAACGCUAGCUACAGGCUUAACACAUGCAAGUCGAGGGGCAGCGGGAUUGAAGCUUGCUUCAAUUGCCGGCGACCGGCGCACGGGUGAGUAACGCGUAUCCAACCUUCCGUACACUCAGGGAUAGCCUUUCGAAAGAAAGAUUAAUACCUGAUGGUAUGAUGAGAUUGCAUGAUAGCAUCAUCAAAGAUUUAUCGGUGAUGGAUGGGGAUGCGUCUGAUUAGCUUGUUGGCGGGGUAACGGCCCACCAAGGCGACGAUCAGUAGGGGUUCUGAGAGGAAGGUCCCCCACAUUGGAACUGAGACACGGUCCAAACUCCUACGGGAGGCAGCAGUGAGGAAUAUUGGUCAAUGGGCGAGAGCCUGAACCAGCCAAGUAGCGUGCAGGAUGACGGCCCUAUGGGUUGUAAACUGCUUUUAUAAGGGAAUAAAGUGAGUCUCGUGAGACUUUUUGCAUGUACCUUAUGAAUAAGGACCGGCUAAUUCCGUG
rnacentral:rRNA from 1 species